AUGUGUUGUGACAGUUUUCUAGUCAUAUACUAUUAUGUGAUCCAGGAGACAACGGUCUUCCAGCCAGACUGGCCAUCGUGUCAUCCAGGAGACUACUGUCUUCCAGCCAGACUGGCCAUCGUGUCAUCCAGGAGACUACAGUCUUCCAGCCAGACUGGCCAUCGUGUCAUCCAGGAGACUACAGUCUUCCAGCCAGACUGGCCAUCGUGUCAUCCAGGAGACUACUGUCUUCCAGCCAGACUGGCCAUCGUGUCAUCCAGGAGACUACUGUCUUCCAGCAGUACCCCACCAGGAAUUUUAUCUCACUUCGCCGGUCAGUUGCCCUCCUAUUGGACAGCGGGAAGUCAUAGAUGCCCUCCUGCUGAAUCAAGUUUUCUUCUGAUUGUUUGGUUUGAUGUUCAGCUACAGAGAAAAAAACAGGUGAGUUAGCAGUAAUUUAUUAAACAUAAACCAUUGAUCAUGCACAAUUACAUCAAUUCAUACACUGAAAAAAAUUCUAAAUGCAACACUAGUUUUUGCCCCCAUUUAUCAUGAGCUGAACUCAAAGAUCUAAGACUUUAUGUACACAAAAGCCUAUUUCUCUCAAAUAUUGUUCACAAAUCUGUCUAAAUCUGUGUUAGUGAGCCCUUCUCCUUUGCCGAGAUAAUCCAUCCACCUCACAGGUGUUGCAUAUCAAGAUGCUGAUUAGACAGCAUGAUUAUUGCACAAGUGUGCCUUAGGCUGGCCACAAUAAAAGGCCAUCCUAAAAUGUGCAGUUUCACUGUAUUGGGGGGGGGGUCCUAAAACUAGUCAGUAUCUGGUGUGACUAUUUGCCUCACGCAGUGCAACACAUCUCCUUCGCAUAGAGUUGAUCAGGUUGUUGAUUGUGGCCUGUGGAACGUUGGUCCGGACGGCUUAUGGCAGAGAAAUUACCAUUCAAUUCACGGGCAACAGCUCUGGUGGACAUUCCUGCACUCAGCAUGCCAAUUGCACGCUCCCUCAAAACUUGUGACAUCUGUGGCAUUGUGCUGUGUGAUGGAACUGCACAUUUUAGAUUGGCCUUUUAUUGUGGCCAGCCUAAGGCACACCUGUGCAAUAAUCAUGCUGUCUAAUCAGCAUCUUGAUAUGCCACACCUGUGAGGUGGAUGGAUUAUCUCAGCAAAGGAGGUGCUCACUAACACAGAUUUAGACAGAUUUGUGAACAAUAUUUGAGAUAAAUAGGCCUUUUGAGGACAUAGAGAAAGUCUUAGAUCUUUGGGAUCAGCUCAUGACAAAUGGGGGCAAAAACAAAAGUGUUGCGUUUAUAAUUUUGUUCAGUGCAUGUUUAGUAGUGUCAAAUACAGAGCUUUUCAUAUAAAGAAUCAUUUAUGUAAGAUUUAUAAAUAAUUAAUUAAAAUGUAAAGACAUAAUAACGCACUAAUGUAAACAUGAGCGUAAUAUUUACAGUUCCGGGCUGGUAGAAUGUCAUAAUGACUCUCUUCCUCAUCUCUCUCGUCACAGUUCCCAGUCAGUUUAGGGACAGAGUCAUUACACUCCUCCCCUGAAAUUACAGUUGAAAGACAUUGUUCUCUUUCCACUACAAAACCAAACCAUUGAACUUGUCAACGGCUUGUCAUAGCAAAUCUGAACACAAACAUUUCAGUAGUGCCAUUGAUACUCUACUUACAGUGUGAGAUGGUGUUCUGUUCUGUGGACUCCUCACUUUUGAGCUUGUCGGUGAGGGACAUAACACCACUAUCACACAGAUACAGGUCACGGUUUAGCCUUGAGAGGGAGUUGGUACUCCAGUUUUCCAGGUCCUGGUCCAGUUUUAGGGGGGUGGGGAGGGUGAAGGUGCUCUUCUUCCACAGGUCCAGAUUCUGUUUAGGGGUGCAGGGGCUUAGGGGUACAGAGAGGGGUCGAUGAACUUCCAGGUUUUCCGUCACACUGUUACAUUCUGACCCAUUGUAGGCGAUCGUGUGACCUCUGAUCCUCAGAUCAUCAGACCCCACAUUCUGCUGCCUGGAAACACAACAGACAGGCAGUUCUCAUACGCUUGCAAGUGCCACAUUCAGUAGGCAAACAUCUGAACGUUCCACAAGACUGUAUCCUGCACAUGGGUCAUCAGCUGCUGCUAACUUGAACACGUAUGCCCACCACGGGAGUGGUCACCUUUCCACGCUAAGACACGCUGAAACUUACUGGGUCCAGGGCAGAAUAUUUAGAAAUGUACUGUAGAGACACAGUGGCUUCAGAAGUAUUCAGAUUUUGUAUUCUCCAGAUUUUGUUGUGUUUUAGACUGAAUUUAAAAGUAUUACAUCAUAUGUUAUGCCAUCAAUCUACACACAAUACCAGAUUAAAACAAAGUGGCAAAGUUUUUUUUGAAAUAUCUUUAAGCACUGGAUUUUGACCCGUUUUAGAUUAAUUCCAAAUACUGAAUGAAUUAAUGUAACAAAUGAAUUUGAUAUAUAAAGAGAGUAUUACAAUUACAUUACAAGUAUCAAAGAUAAAAGCUCUCCGGAUAUUCAAGAUGUUUGCAAGAGCAAAGAGGCAGAAGGGAGGAAAAUGCAAGAGAGAGCUCCCCCAAUCCCGGCUCUGGUUUAUAUCCAUGGGGGUUGGUUUAUUGAUCAAAAUUAUUACAAACUAGUCUUAAAGAAUAGACCCCUUAUCAAUUGGGGACACAUUCUGAUCUGUUCGGGGCCAUCUCAUAAGACAGAGCGGUGUUAACUCAAGAAGCAAGCUAGCUAGGCAAUAACAAGCAAACCUUUUUGUCCCUGCAUUCACAGCUUACAGAAACAUCUCUAAAAAAUUCCAAUGAUUGCCGAUUAGGAGAGAAAUUAAGUACAUAGAUAUAAAUGUCUAAACUAAAUAAUGAAGAAUCAUUGAAUAUGUAAACAAACAUAGAAUUGAAAUUUUUAGGUUCCUUCAAUCUCAUGUACAAGUAUUCAGACUUUUUUGUAACAACUCUCCAAAUUUAAUUCCAAUGCAUGCGCCAUCAUUUGGUCGCCCUUGAGAUAUCGCUAGAAUUCCACCAGUCGCAAAUGUUUGGAUACAAUUUAGAGAGGUCCCACACUAACAGUGUAUGUCAGAGUAAGAACCAUGCCGUAAAGUCCAAGGAACUCUCCAUAGACCUCAGAGAUCGGGAGAAGGUUAUAAAAAAAAAAAAACGAUAAAGCAUUGAAAGUUCCCCUUCAGCACAGUGGGCUCUAUCGUUGUGAAAUGAAAGUACAAAACCACCUAGACUCUUCCUAGGGCAGGCCAUCCAGCCAUACAAAGUAACUGGGCAAGAAGGCCUUGGUCAUUGAGUUUUUCUGCAUAGAUGGGAAAACCUGUCAGAAGGACAAUCAUCUCUACAGCAUUCCAUUAAUAGGUCCUUUCUGUGCUAGACAGAAGCCACUCCUGAGUAAAAGUCAUAUGACAUGCUGCCUCAAGGAUUCUGAGAACAUGAGGGAAAAAAUAAUCUGGUCUGAUGAGACCAAAAUGUUAUGAGUAGGCCUGAAUGGUGGGUACUACGGCUAAUGAAAAUAAGGCACUACUCAUUGGCUGUCUUAUACCGUCCUUAAGAGGAAGCAUGAUGGUGGGAUCUUCAUGCUGUAGGGAUACAGUGGCAGGGACUUGACGAUCAGCAUUAAGGGAAGGAUGAAUGCAGCAAAAUACAGAGAGGUCCUUGAAGAAUUCAGAGAGCACAGGACAUCAGACUGGGACAAUGACUUGAAUCCAAUCUGUGGGGACACCUGAAGAUUCAGUUCACCCAAUAUUUCCCAUUAAAUCUGAGUAAGCUUGAGAGGAUCUACAAACAAGGUGAGAAACUGCCUAAAUCCAGCUAUGCAAAGCUAGCGGAGGCAUACCCAAGAAAACUCCAAGCUUGGAUCGCUGUGAAAGUCAUUUCUUCAUAGUACUGAAUAAAAGGUCUGAAUACUUAUGUACACAAGAGGCUUUCUUUAUAACAUGUAGUACAGAAAUAUCGUCCACAAACUGUUAAUAAUAAAGGUUUGACUUACAAUUCUGACAGGCUGUUUAGUUUCAUUUGAAUAAGAACGUACAAUACAUUUGAAUGCCUUUAUUGGAAGCUGCUCUAGAUACGAACUGUUAUCCUACUAAAGUGCAAUGUAAUUGAGAUACAUUGGGGGAUUCAAAUAUGAUAAUCUUCAUGUUACCGUAUGCUGCCAGGGAAUGAGCCCCCUGGGGCAGACAGAUGCAUUGCCCUCCACAGCUGGUCAAUCCACACCCUCCUUAAGUCAUCGGUCUCGGCAGCCUACAAACAGAUGUUUGGGGUAACAUGGAUUGAAUACAUGGUUACAGCGGGUAGCUAAUCGCAGAAUUUCACAGGGUCAAAGGAGGUGGUGUAGUAAGGGAUCUUGGCAAAUCUCUCAUGUACAUAAUCAUUCAAACAUGCAUACGCGUCUGGCAAAACAUGGCAAUUACAUUCAAAUGGAACUAACAGUUGAAUGUAUAUUUCUUAAAAAAUAUGGAAUAUCCCCACUGUCAGUAUGAAGAGGACAGUGACAGGCCUCAUCCUUGAACAAAUAAAACGUACACAGCCAUCACACACGUUUGUGUAAAUCUGGAGUAUAUCUGUGUCUUGAGUUACUCACCAGUACCUUCCUCUUCCCAUUCUUCAUGAUGAUCUCAAACAGAGAGUGUUUGCUCUCCUCCUUCUGGAUCACACGAACCGACUGUACCUGGCCCAUCAACAACACUGCCAUUUCAGACACACAUGGUCUAUCCACGUACUAUGUAACUGUACCCCAUUAAGCAGGAGUAACAAGGGCUGAUGGAAUAUGCAAGUGCUCAGGACACGUUAUCCAAAUCAGCUCAAAGGGACAAGAAACACGAGUGUUACAGUUUGGGGCCAGUUUAAAACCAGUUGGCUACAAUAGUUAAAGUGAUUAGGACCAGCAGUAGACAGGGUUACUGUUAUACAAUGAAACCAGUUUAACUCACUGUGUAGAUGUAGUAAAGGCCUCUUAGAUGUGACUGUGGGAGUAACAGGAGUAUAAGGCCUUAUUUGUUGUUUUUGCUUUAAAUAGUUAAUAACAGAGGAAUCACCUCAAUUAUACUUACAGCACUCCCAUGUUUCUUAGUGUAGAAAAAUAGCGUUGUGUUGUGGAGCCUGAACCAAUAGGUUGCCCACUUCAUUUUCUAAAAGAAUAUAAUAUACAGACACUAUUUCACCAGAUAGCGAAGAUCUUAUUCUGGAUGAAAACAAUGACAGAGUAGACAAUAGUACUCAUACAGAGCAUAAGCAGUAAUAAAAAGCAUGAAAAAUAUUUAAAUCACUCUUCAGCUGAACCAGACAGACCUGCUAACUUCCCUCACUGGUCAACUUGCCAAACAGCAGAUGCGUUCAUCAACAAGAAAACAUACAACAAUUGAAGUGUUGUUAACGUCAUCAUUUCAACAUA
rnacentral:lncRNA from 1 species